GGACCCUAAAGCUUCUCACUCAGGCCUUGGCUCUGCUCGCAGCAGCCUCAGGCCACACAACGGCUCCUUGGAAAGGCCGAGGGGGAGGGCAGGAAGGCUGCACGGUGCACGCUCCCCACCACCACCUGGGGAGUGUGUGGCCUGACCUUCCCCGAUGGGAGAUGAGGGUCCCUGAGCUGUGGAGCAAAGGGAG